UCAUUACUGAGAGAGGGGCUUCGCGCUCCCGGGGGUCUCGGCCCCCAACUCUUCACCCUGUGUGUAUCUACCUUUGUUGCUUUGGCGGACCUCGGGGGUCCCCUUCGCACUGGCUUUCGGGUCGGUGAGUGUCCGCCAGAGUCCUAUUUAAAUUCUGUUUAUCAGUGCCGUCCGAGUACCAAAUAUAAAUUAAGUAAAAACUUUCAACAACGGAUCUCUUGGUUCCAGCAUCGAUGAAGAACGCAGCGAAAUGCGAUAAGUAAUGUGAAUUGCAGAAUUCAGUGAAUCAUCGAAUCUUUGAACGCACAUUGCGCCCCUCGGUAUUCCGGGGGGCAUGCCUGUUCGAGCGUCAUUACACCCCUCAAGCUUGGCUUGGUAUUGGGCUCUCGCCCCCGUGGCGGGCCCGAAAAGCAGUGGCGGUCCGGCGUGACUUUAAGCGUAGUAAAUUUCAAUCCCGCUUUGAAAGUUCGCGUCGUGGCUCGCCAGGCAACCUUACGUAUAUCUACGUACCCUUCCAAUAAUUGACCUCGGAUCAGGUAGGGAUA
rnacentral:rRNA from 1 species